ACCUGGCUGGCUCAGUCAGUAGAGCACACGACUCUUAAUCUUGGGGCUGUGGGUUUGAGCCCCAAGUUGAGUG
rnacentral:tRNA from 1 species